UGGAACUCGCCCCGUGGUCCACCACAAAACUCGCUCCUUGCUUCCAGGGAACAAAGAGUGACUGUUCUCUCCCCGAGUUAAUGAGAUCUUACAAGGCAGUGGGGUCAGAGGAGAAAAGGCAACAGAAAACCCCCAGAGUUUUAACCUCAAUGUCUUUCUCUCUUUUCCUUUGGAAAAAUAAUAAUAAUAAUAAACACAAGUGUUCUUCACUGAGUUCUGAAGAGGAAGCGGGUGGCCGUGGUGUGGAGCAGGAGGAAGAGAAGCUCUUGACCGUCAACAUCUCUGAUCUCAGAGGCCGACUCAAGGAGAAGGAGGGCCCACUGAAGUCACACUUGGAUGCCAGACUCCCAGUGCAGAGGAGGGCACUGUGGCUGCCAGGACCAGCCUGGGCGCACACACACAGGCAUUCACAGCCCCUCCCGCCCGCCCUGUGUGCCCCCAGCAGCAAACAGAACUCUCUGUCUCAGUUCCUGAGUCAAGCCUGCACAGAAUUAACUGUAAUAAUUGGCAGGUGGGCCGCUGGCUUCUGGGUUUCAAUUCAGCAGGGGCUCAUGAAAAAAAAAACAAAAAACUGGAUGUUCUGCCGUAGCCAGUAUUUAGCUUGGGCUCUGAGAAGUUUCAGCUUUCCAUGACAAGAAACAAACUGUGUGACUGCAGCUGCCCUGGGCAAACAAGAGCUCCAGAACAGCCUUGGGGAAAGAGGCCCUUGCUGGCAAGACGUUCGCUCCUUGGGGGAAAGAAGAGGAAAUGGCCCUUGACCUGCUGCCCUUCUCAGGAGCUCAGAUAAUGGAGAAGAAAGGCGUCUUUCUGGAAGCUUUUUUCCUCAGAUGGAAGGGCGAGAUCAUCACCUCCAAAGAUUUUUCCACGGCAUGAAUGCCCUGUGUGUGUGCUGUGUGCUCGGUCGUGUUCGAAUUUUUGUGACUGUCCAUGGGAUUUCCUAGGCAAGAAUACUGGAGUGGAUGCCCCGGUCACUCUUUAUAAGAAUAUCUGUAAUAAUAGGGGUUCUCAUCCCAGCCCACAACUGAGCCACCAUUUAUCACAUAUUCAUUUAUUUGACUGCACCAAGUCCUAGCUGAGGCAUGAGAACUUAAGUUUGUGGCAUGUGGGAUCCAGUUCCCUGACCAGGGAUUGAACCCAGGUCUCUUGCAUUGGGAGUUCAGAGUCUUAGCCACUGGACCACCAGGGAAGACCCCUGAGCCACCCUUUGACAGCAUCUACUGCUGAUGGGACAGGAACCAGCCUCCACUACUGUGUUUCUGCUAUUUGUCCACUGCAGACCUCACUAAUCAACAGUGGUUAUCUUUUCCACUGAGCCUCAGACAUGGGCUCAGAAUCUUGCUCGACAUUGUACCCCAGGAAGCCACUAGAAAUGAAUAGGAAUUGGCAGGAGAGCUGACAAAUAUUUGCUGCUUCUAUUUUGGUAACUCAGAAGAGGCCAGAGUUACAAUCUCACCAAAGUUUCUGCAUCGACAGGAAUCCAGUGAUGUCCUACUUCAGGACUGUGGCCUUUCAUGCCAAUUACCGACCAAACAGAGAAUGCUUAUCACUGCUCUCCAGAGACUGGGCUCUGGCGAUGAUCCUCCUCAGAGAAGAGGACACACGACAGGAUUUCACUGGAGACCCAGAUCUGCAAGAGGACAACUUCACUGAACUCCUUGCUAUGCAACACGAGCUGCUUACUAAUGAAGACCUGAUGGAGUCGGAGACCCAGAGAAAGGAUGGAGAGAAAGGAAGAAGUAACUGAAGAACCAAAGAGAUUCAUGACACAGGAGACGGCAAGGGUGUUUUCUUUAUUUGAGGGGGCACCGUUAGAUUUUGGGACCCAGGACCCAAAUGUAGAACGGUUCAUGAACGGUACAGCAACUGUUCAGAAUGCAAUCCAGUGCUGCUGUGUCAUCUAUGAUGAGAAAAAACAGUUGCUACCCAGACAUCGCUGGAUCGUGUUCUUUUUCAUGUGUGUCCCCUCCCUCCUGAACACUCCUCGCAACUCCCUCCCUGUCCCAGCCCUCCAGAGAGAGCACCAGCUUUGUCAGAGAGCACCAGCUCUGGGCUCCCUGCAUCAUCCGCCAGACUCCCACUGGCUCUCUGUUUUACAUGUGGGAGUGCAUGUGUUUCAGUGCUAUUCUCGCAAAUCAACCCACUCAUGAGGAUAGAUAGAGUUGAGCCGAGCAAGGAACCCGAACCAGUGCCAUCAGCAUCAGGUGGGAGUGGAAUUACAGCUUGCCUUCCAUCUCCUGUUGGUGAUGACCGUUCGGCUCUGCCCUCUCCCGUCUCCUCUCCCUCCUCUAGUCAGUAACUCCUGCCUGUUCACUCCAUGCCAGUCCCCGUGUGUCAGCUGUUGUAUGGCGCUACUGUACUUCUCAAGGCAGCAAUGGAUAUUCAGACAUAGAGAACAGACUUAUGGACACAGUGCGGAGGAGAGAGAAGGUGGGAUGAUUUGAGAAGAGUCGCGUGGAAACAUGUAUGUUAUCAUAUGCAAUGUGGAUGUGUGCGCUGUGUGCUCAGUCACUCAGACUGAGGUCACUGACCAGUCGCUGUGUUGGACUCUUUGCCAAGUCAUGGACUGUAUAACUCUCACCUUUGAGAGGGUCUGAAUUCCACCUGUGGAAUGUAUGCGUGCAUGUGUGCAUGCUAAGUCGUUCAGUCAAGUCGGACUCUGCGACCCUUUGGACUGUAGCUCACCAGGCUCCUCUGACCAUGGGAUUCUCCAGGCAAGAAUACUGGAGUGGGUAGCCAUGCUGUCCUCCAGGGGAUCCUCCAAACCCAGGGAUCGAACCUGUGUCUCUUAUGUCUCCUGCAUUGGCAGGCAGGUUCUACCACUGAUAUCCAAUGGGAAUUGGUUGUAUGACACAGGGGACCCUGUGGCUCAGCUGGUAAAGAAUCCGCUUGCAAUGCAGGAGACCUGGGUUUGAUCCCCGGGUUGGGAAGAAUCCCUGGAGAAGGGAAAGGCUACCCACUCCAGUAUUCUGGCCUGGAGAAUUCC